rnacentral:rRNA from 1 species
CACGCCGUAAACUAUGGAUGCUAGCUGUACACCGUAUCGACCCGGUGUGUAGCGAAGCUAACGCGUUAAGCAUCCCGCCUGUGGAGUACGAGCGCAAGCUUAAAACAUAAAGGAAUUGACGGGGACCCGCACAAGCGGUGGAGCGUGUUGUUUAAUUCGAUGGUAAGCGAAGAACCUUACCAAGGCUUGAAAUCCUGCGAAGUUCUGCGAAAGCAGAGUGUGCCUUCGGGAACGCAGUGACAGGUGU